GCUGAAGAACGUAGCGAAAUGCGAUAAGUAAUGUGAAUUGCAGAAUUCAGUGAAUCAUCGAAUCUUUGAACGCACAUUGCGCCCGCCAGUAUUCUGGCGGGCAUGCCUGUUCGAGCGUCAUUACAACCCUCACGCCCCCGGGCCUGGCGUUGGGGAUCGGCGGAGCCCCCCGUGGGCACACGCCGUCCCCCAAAUGCAGUGGCGGUCCCGCCGCAGCUUCCAUCGCGUAGUAGCUAACACCUCGCGACUGGAGAGCGGCGCGGCCACGCCGUAAAACACCCAACUCUUCUGAAGUUGACCUCGAAUCAGGUAGGAAUACCCGCUGAACUUAAGCAUAUCAAUAAGCGGAGGA
rnacentral:misc_RNA from 1 species